rnacentral:rRNA from 1 species
GCGGCGUGCCUAACACAUGCAAGUCGAACGGAGUUAUUCGAAGGAAGUUUUCGGAUGGAAUCGAAUAACUUAGUGGCGGACGGGUGAGUAACGCGUGGAAACCUCGCCCUUACGUGGGGGAAUAACACUUAGAAAUAGGUGACUAAAACCGCAUAAGCGCGACGGGACCGCAUGGUCCAGUGUAGAAAAACUCCGGUGGUACAGGAUCGGUCCCGCGUCUGAUUAGCCAGUUGCAGGGUAACGGCCUACAAGCGACGAUCAGUAGCCGGCCUGAGAGGGUGGACGGCCACAGUUGGGACUGAGACACGGACCCAAACUCCGUACGGGGAGGCAGCAGGUGGGGAAUAUUGCACAAUGGGGGGAAACCCUGAUGCAGCGACGCCGCGUGAGUGAAGAAGUAUUUCGGUAUGUAAAGCUCUAUCAGCAGGGAAGAAAAUGACGGUACCUGAGUAAGAAGCCCCGGCUAACUACGUGCCAGCAGCCGCGGUAA